AGCAGUAGCCGCGGGAAUACAGAGGGUGCGAGCGUUAAUCGGAUUUACUGGGCGUAAAGCGUGCGUAGGCGGCUUCUUAAGUCGGAUGUGAAAUCCCUGAGCUUAACUUAGGAAUUGCAUUCGAUACUGGGAAGCUAGAGUAUGGGAGAGGAUGGUAGAAUUCCAGGUGUAGCGGUGAAAUGCGUAGAGAUCUGGAGGAAUACCGAUGUCGAAGGCAGCCAUCUGGCCUAAUACUGACGCUGAGGUACGAAAGCAUGGGGAGCAAACAGGAUUAGAUACCCCUGUAGUCCCUGUCUCUUAUAC
rnacentral:rRNA from 1 species